GACGAACGCUGGCGGCGUGCUUAACACAUGCAAGUCGAGCGGAGCGGCGAACGGGUGAGUAACGCGUGAGUAACUGCCCCCCUCUCUGGGAUAACAGUUGGAAACGGCUGCUAAUACCGGAUAGUGGGGGAUGACUCGCGUCCUAUCAGCUUGUUGGUGGGGUAGUGGCCUACCAAGGCGACGACGGGUAGCCGGCCUGAGAGGGCGACCGGCCACAGUGGGCUGAGAUACGGCGCAAACUCCUACGGGAGGUAGCAGUGGGGAAUAUUGCACAAUGGGGGAAACACUGAUGCAGCAACGCCGCGUGCUGGAUGACGGCCUCCGGCGUGUAAACCGCUUUUAGCCACGUCGGGGUAGUGUCAGAAGCAGCACCUGCUAACUACGUUCCAGCACCCCCGGUAAAC
rnacentral:rRNA from 1 species